UCUCAUUCUUUUUUCUUUUUUUUCUUCUUCUACCGCUCCUAUGUUCUUCUUAUUCUUCUUCUUCUUCUUCUUCUUUCUAUCGAACUCAGUUCAAAGGAUUGAGAUUAGUUUAGAGGUAACUCGUAGUAUUGUAGAGAGAUAGUCGAAUCAAGAGUUUUAUUAAGAAGUUUCAGAGAUAGAAGAAUAAGAAAUCAGUUGAGAAGUUAGGGUUCUUGAGUUGAUUGAGGGCUUGUGCGGAACAACAAAGGAGUUGAUGCUGAUAACAGUGAGCAAGAGAAUGAUUUCUGCAUGAUGAUGUUGAUUAAAGAAACAAUAGAAAUAAGAAUUAGGGUUCAUGGAUUUAAUUGAGUUAUCUGUUGAAUUGAAUCAAGGAAGAUGAAAUUGAAGGUUUAAGUGACAAAUUAGAGAUGGGUUUUCGAUUGAUUUAAAGAUUGAUUUUUGAGUUAGGGAUUCUGAGAUGAAAUCAAAAAUUAGGAUUUCUUAUUGAAUCGAAGUUUGAAUGAAAUCAUUCAGUUGAUUGAGUUGUUCAUAGAUGAAGGAUAAAUGGGUUAUUUUUGAAUUGGUGAGGUGAGGCAGUUCUGUUGAAGGUUCUGCAAAUUAGGUUUUUGUGUAAAUAUUCAGAGAUGUGUUAGACGAAGAAAUUGAAGCUGAUGAAGACUGUAAGACGUGGAUUGAAGAAGAAUUUGACUGGUAGAAGCUAAACGUGCUAAUGAAUUGAGGUAACUGCUUAUCUCAGUAAACAUAAUAAAGAGAUAUUUCAUUGUUGAGUUUAUAAGUUAUUGUGUUUAUGUGUGAUUAGAUUUGAUGAAUGUUAGGAUGUUACAGAGAUGAUGAAGGUGGUGACUGUGAAGAGAAUAUGUUUAAAGUUAGGACUGAAUUUUUAUUGCAGAUGGAACAAGAUUGAUAUGGGUGAACUUGAGUUACAUGAUUGUUAACUUAAGAAGUAUAAGAGUAAUUGGUGUUGGUAGUAUCAGCAGAGAAGCUGUGGAACUGAAUUAACUGUGUAAUGGAAUCAGGUGGCUGUAUUGAGAUGCAGUUGAAGUUAAAUUAACUGGUAGAGACUCAGUUGGGUUAUAUAGGGUUACUUGAGAUGAAGCAAUUGGUUGUUAGUGAUAUCUUGAGUAAAUGAAAUGCAGAUGAUAAGAUUGUAGUUGUGUUGAUACUGCUGAAUUGUGAAUGGAGUAUGAAAUGAAUGGGGUGAUGGGGUUUACUAAUGUUUCAUUUGGGGCUUUCCACUGCUAUUGCAGUUGUAGAUGAUUGUACUGAAUUACAAGUAGUGAUGGUGUUAAAUUGAAGUUGCAUUUAAUCUAAAACUGGUGGUCAUUCAGUUUAGUGGAUGUGUUGCUAAAAGCUGCAACCGCAGUUAGUCUAUUAACAACGAUCGAUUCAAAGGAUGAACCAGUGGAUCGUGGAUCUCGAAGUAGGCGUGGUUUGUCAUCAAAAGAGUUUCAGAGACAGAUCAGAGUUGCGCAUCGAAAGCUUCGAGGAAUUGACUCUGUUAAUUAGUUAACUUCUGCUAUAUUAUGUCGUAUUUUCUAUUUAUAAACCAAAUGACUAGUGUAUAUGUAUCAUUUGAGAGAAGUUCUUGUAUAUAUAUAUAUAUUUCUGAGCGGGGUUAGUUUUGGGUUGAUUUUUAUA